CCUACGGGAGGCAGCAGUAGGGAAUUGUUCGCAAUGGGCGCAAGCCUGACGACGCAACGCCGCGUGGAGGACGAAGACCUUCGGGCCGUAAACUCCUGUCGGGAGGGAAGAAAGUCUACGGGUUAAUACCCCGGAGGCGUGACGGUACCUCUAGAGGAAGCCCCGGCUAACUCCGGCCAGCAGCCGCGGU
rnacentral:rRNA from 1 species